rnacentral:rRNA from 1 species
AAUAGAUACCCAGGUAGUCCACGCCGUAAACGAUGAGUGCUAAGUGUUAGAGGGGUUUCCGCCCUUUAGUGCUGCAGCUAACGCAUUAAGCACUCCGCCUGGGGAGUACGGUCGCAAGACUGAAACUCAAAGGAAUUGACGGGGGCCCGCACAAGCGGUGGAGCAUGUGGUUUAAUUCGAAGCAACGCGAAGAACCUUACCAGGUCUUGACAUCCCACUGACCGGUAUAGAGAUAUACCUUUCCCUUCGGGGACAGUGGUGACAGGUGGUGCAUGGUUGUCGUCAGCUCGUGUCGUGAGAUGUUGGGUUAAGUCCCGCAACGAGCGCAACCCUUGAUCUUAGUUGCCAGCAUUUAGUUGGGCACUCUAAGGUGACUGCCGGUGACAAACCGGAGGAAGGUGGGGAUGACGUCAAAUCAUCAUGCCCCUUAUGACCUGGGCUACACACGUGCUACAAUGGAUGGUACAAAGGGCUGCAAGACUGCGAAGUCAAGCCAAUCCCAUAAAACCCAUUCUCAGUUCGGAUUGCAGG